GAUGAAGAACGUAGCGAAAUGCGAUACGUAAUGUGAAUUGCAGAAUUCAGUGAAUCAUCGAAUCUUUGAACGCAUAUUGCGCUCUCUGGUAUUCCGGAGAGCAUGCUUGUUUGAGUAUCAGUAAACACCUCAACUCCCCUUUCUUUUUUGAAAUGGGAGCUGGACUUGAGUGAUCCCAACGCUUUUCUCACCGAAAAGUGGCGGGUUACUUGAAAUGCAGGUGCAGCUGGACUUUUCUCUGAGCUAAAAGCAUAUCUAUUUAGUCUGCCUAAAAACAGAUUAUUACCUUUGCUGCAGCUAACAUAAAGGAGAUUAGUUCUUGUGCUGACUGAUGCAGGAUUCACAGAGACAGCUUCGGCUGGCCUUUGUAAACUCGAUCUCAAAUCAAGUAAGACUACCCGCUGAACUUAAGCAUAUCAAUAACGGAGGA
rnacentral:misc_RNA from 1 species